UACGUAGGCAGCAAGCGUUGUCCGGAAUUAUUGGGCGUAAAGAGCUCGUAGGCGGUUUGUCGCGUCUGCUGUGAAAACUCGGGGCUUAACUCCGGGCCUGCAGUGGGUACGGGCAGACUAGAGUGCGGUAGGGGAGACUGGAAUUCCUGGUGUAGCGGUGAAAUGCGCAGAUAUCAGGAGGAACACCGGUGGCGAAGGCGGGUCUCUGGGCCGUAACUGACGCUGAGGAGCGAAAGCGUGGGGAGCGAACAGG
rnacentral:rRNA from 1 species